rnacentral:rRNA from 1 species
GACGAACGCUGGCGGCGUGCUUAACACAUGCAAGUCGAACGGAAAGGCCCUGCUUUUGUGGGGUGCUCGAGUGGCGAACGGGUGAGUAACACGUGAGUAACCUGCCCUUGACUUUGGGAUAACUUCAGGAAACUGGGGCUAAUACCGGUUAGGAGCUCCUGCUGCAUGGUGGGGGUUGGAAAGUUUCGGCGGUUGGGGAUGGACUCGCGGCUUAUCAGCUUGUUGGUGGGGUAGUGGCUUACCAAGGCUUUGACGGGUAGCCGGCCUGAGAGGGUGACCGGCCACAUUGGGACUGAGAUACGGCCCAGACUCCUACGGGAGGCAGCAGUGGGGAAUAUUGCACAAUGGGCGGAAGCCUGAUGCAGCAACGCCGCGUGCGGGAUGACGGCCUUCGGGUUGUAAACCGCUUUCGCCUGUGACGAAGCGUGAGUGACGGUAAUGGGUAAAGAAGCACCGGCUAACUACGU